GACGAACGCUGGCGGCAUGCCUAAUACAUGCAAGUCGAGCGAACAGAUGAAGUGCUUGCACUUCUGACGUUAGCGGCGAACGGGUGAGUAACACGUAAGGAAUCUACCUAUAAGCGGGGGAUAACAUUCGGAAACGGGUGCUAAUACCGCAUAAUAUCUUCUUCCGCAUGGAAGAAGGUUGAAAGACGGCUCUGCUGUCACUUAUAGAUGACCUUGCGGUGCAUUAGUUAGUUGGUGGGGUAACGGCCUACCAAGACGAUGAUGCAUAGCCGACCGGAGAGGGUGAUCGGCCACAUUGGGACUGAGACACGGACCAAACGCCUACGGGAGGCAGCAGCAGGGAAUCUUCCGCAAUGGGCGAAAGCCUGACGGAGCAAUGCCGCGUGAGUGAAGAAGGCCUUCGGGUCGUAAAACUCUGUUUAAGAGAAGAACAAAUUGUAGGGUAACUGCUACAGUCUUGACGGUAUCUUAUCAGAAAGCCACGGCUAACUACGUGCCAGCCGCCGCGGUAA
rnacentral:rRNA from 1 species